GUAGGGUGCGAGCGUUAAUCGGAAUUACUGGGCGUAAAGCGUGCGCAGGCGGUUCUAUAAGGACAGAUGUGAAAUCCCCGGGCUUAACCUGGGAACUGCGUUUGUGACUGUAGGACUUGAGUGUAGCAGAGGGGGGUGGAAUUCCACGUGUAGCAGUGAAAUGCGUAGAGAUGUGGAGGAACACCGAUGGCGAAGGCAGCCCCCUGGGUUAACACUGACGCUCAUGCACGAAAGCGUGGGGAGCAAACAGGAUUAGAUACCCUGGUAGUCCACGCCCUAAACGAUGCCAACUAGGUGUUGGGGAAGGAGACUUCCUUAGUACCGUAGCUAACGCGUGAAGUUGGCCGCCUGGGGAGUACGGUCGCAAGAUU
rnacentral:rRNA from 1 species